rnacentral:rRNA from 1 species
UGAGGAAUAUUAGUCAAUGGGCGCAAGCCUGAACCAGCCAUCACGCGUGCAGGAAGACGGCCCUAUGGGUUGUAAACUGCUUUUCCAGGGAGAGAAACUUGCGUACGCGUUGCGCAAUUGACGGUACCCUGGGAAUAAGCAUCGGCUAACUCCGUGCCAGCAGCCGCGGUAAUACGGAGGAUGCGAGCGUUAUCCGGAUUCAUUGGGUUUAAAGGGUGCGUAGGCGGACUAUUAAGUCAGUGGUGAAAUCCUGCAGCUUAACUGCAGAACUGCCAUUGAUACUGAUAGCCGUGAGUUUGGUUAAGGUAGGCGGAAUGUGUAAUGUAGCGGUGAAAUGCUUAGAUAUUACUUAGAACACCGAUUGCGAAGGCAGGUCACUAUGUUUUAACUGACGCUGAUGGACGAAAGCGUGGGGAGCAAACA